rnacentral:rRNA from 1 species
CAGCCGUAAACUAUGCUCGCUAGGUGUCAGGCAUGGCGCGACCGUGUCUGGUGCCGCAGGGAAGCCGUGAAGCGAGCCACCUGGGAAGUACGGCCGCAAGGCUGAAACUUAACGGAAUUGGCGGGGGAGCACAACAACGGGUGGAGCCUGCGGUUUAAUUGGACUCAACGCCGGACAACUCACCGGGGACGACAGCAAUAUGUAGGCCAGGCUGAAGACCUUGCCUGAAUCGCUGAGAGGAGGUGCAUGGCGUAGACGU